CCCGCACAAGCGGUGGAGCAUGUGGUUUAAUUCGAUGAUACGCGAGGAACCUUACCUGGGCUCAAAUGUAUGUUGACGUAUUCUGAAAGGGAUACUUCUUCGGACAAUAUACAAGGUGCUGCAUGGUUGUCGUCAGCUCGUGCCGUGAGGUGUCAGGUUAAGUCCCAUAACGAGCGCAACCCCUAUCAUUAGUUGCCAUCAGGUCAAGCUGGGGACUCUAAUGAAACUGCCUACGCAAGUAGUGAGGAAGGUGGGGAUGACGUCAAAUCAGCACGGCCCUUACGUCCAGGGCUACACACGUGCUACAAUGGCCGAUACAGAGGGCAGCUACCUGGUGACAGGAUGCAAAUCUCCAAAGUCGGUCUCAGUUCGGAUCGGAGUCUGCAACCCGACUCCGUGAAGUUGGAUUCGCUAGUAAUCGCGCAUCAGCCAUGGCGCGGUGAAUACGUUCCCGGGCCUU
rnacentral:rRNA from 1 species